CACACUGCAUCUUUAUUUCCCAGCUUGGAUGAGAUUCACUCAUUUGUGGAUGGAGGUCAUUUAACUCUGGUGUAGUGACAAAUUGGGUCUCCAUUAGGACCCCAAACGAUCCCAUUGGUUCAAAUUGCUUUUAUUAGGUACUCUCUUUAGCGCCUGUUUACAAUUCCUACAAAAUCAUGUUAGGAUAAAUGCUGUUUCAACUACAUUAUAAUUAGGACUGGGACAAUACAUCAAUUCUCGAUUCGUGAUUUGCGAUACAAUGAAUCUGGAUCGAUCCUUGAUGUUUUCUCUCUUGAAUUGAUUCUGAGCUUAGUUUUAACAGCAGAUGGCACUCUCGGCGAUCGUGUGUUCGGCUGAAUCCCGUAAGUGGUUAAAUACACUUGCUCAGAAUGCUUUUAUGACGCGAGAUUAAUGUAAACACAGCCUACUGCGAACACCCUUGUAAUUCACUAUAACAUUUUCAAACUUAAUGAAUGAUUAUUUUAGGUUUAAGCAGGCUCGGAUUAACACAGUGUAGUGCCCUAGGGUGACCACAUUUGAAGUGCUGGCUAUCCAUUUUGAAUUUAAUAUUAUAAAUUGGCAGGCUUGACUCUGACUGGGGGGAGGGGGCAAAUACACUGUGACCUGACCCAAUAGCAAUUCUAUAUGCAUAUAUUUUAUAUUCUCUCUGUAUAUAUUGUAUCAUUAACUGUUCAUUUUUUGUAUCUGCAUCUCUUCCAGCAAAAUAAUAUAUAUACAAAACAUGAAAAAUAUUUUAAAGGUCUAGUCAUUAUCUUAAUCACUUGGUGCCCCCUAUUGGCUGGUGCCCCAGGGCACUCGCCCAAUCCCGUCUAUGGAUAAUCCAGCCCUGGGUUUAAGUGGUGUGUUUAAAGGAACUGGAAGCAUGCAGAGUACAGUUGUUUCUAAAGCACGUAGCGCCAUCUGCUGAUAAAAACUAAGCUCAGAAUCGAUUCGAGAGAGAAUCGCUAUACAUCUGAAAAUAUCAGAAUCGAUCAAGAUUCGUGUCAAGAAUCGAUGUAUUGUCCCAGCCCUAAUUAUAAUGACCAUUUAAGUCUGUAUUAGUUAGCUUAUGUACUAGCAUAGAGCAUACUGAUACCCAGUUAGCCUGAUAGCUUAGUUUAUACACAUUUGCACUUACCUUACAUGUAUUCACAAUCAUCUUUAAUAUAAUUGUUAAAUUAAGUGUCAAAUGUCCAAAUAUUUCAAUUAUAAAUAAAACAAAUUAAUGACAAAUUCAAUUAUUCACUUAAUAAGAAAUUAUGAUCACUUGGUUUUGUUAUGCACUAAAUAGUUUUAUUACACAAUACACAUUAUAUAGUAAGCUAUAUGUGUAUUUUAAAUUAAUAUCAUUUGUAUAGGAUGAUCAUAGACAGUUUGGGGAGACACGAUUUUGAAGGAGGACCCGAUUUGUCAUGGCAUCGGCAGAAAUGCAUUGUAUACAACGGACUCCCGGUUUCAUAGAUAAGACUUAAAUCCUGUCUCAGACUAAAAUUUAUGUUUUAACUGAAAGUAACUUGUACUGGCAUAUCUUAAAAUAUGUCAGUGUUAUUGUUUUGUCUCAAGUUGCACACCAGUAAUGUUUUUUCUCUAAGGCAUGUUUUAAAUACCUAGAAUAUCAAAAUCAACUGCAGGAGGUAGAUCCUUCUCCUAUUUGGCACCUAAACUCUGGAACAAUCUUCCUAGCAUUGUUUGGGAAGCAGACACACUCUGUCAGUUUAAAUCUAGACUAAAAACGCAUUUCUUUAACCUGGCAUACACAUAACACAUUAUCAAUUUAUUUUUUCAAAUCCGUUAAAGGAUUAUUAGGCUGCAUAAAUUAGGUCAGACGGAACCGGGAACACUUCCUAUAACACCUGAUGUACUCGUUACAUCAGAAGAAGAAUGGCAUCUAAUAUUAGUCUUUCUGUUUAUCCCGAGGUUUACCGUAGUCAACUGGAUCCGGGCCGUAUCCAGGUGAGAUUGAGGACCUACGCCUUGACACGACCACAACGCACCCCUGAAGUGUCAGCAGAGAUUGAGUCAACUAGAUCAUCCAUUGUGAAGGCCUCAUCGACACGACAGCCAGUGGCACAGUUCCUCAACAAACCGUUCAUACCGGCGUGAUGAAUACGAUCCUCAACUGGAUUGAACUGGAAUAAAUACUUUUUUCUACUGACCCGGUCAGGCUAGUGGUGCACAUUUUUACUUGCCCUGCCAAAAUUUUGAGAUGGUCCUCACUGCAGAACAUGAGAUCCAGGGAGCGGGGUUGGACCUAGAUCCAACUCUUCCCACUUUACAUAUCCCUAAACCUACUCGUCUCCACCCCCUGGAUCUCGUGUUCUGCAGUGAGGGACUACUGAAAAUUUUCACUGGCCCCACAAUAAAAAAAAAAAGAAGAAAGUAAAAGAAAAGAAAAUGGGCCUAUAAAAUAAGCCUAGUUAUUUUUUGUUGUUGUUUUUAAUACAUGUAACCUGAAUAAAUAAGGUUAUGACACCAAAAGAUUAACUAAAUCAAAUUACAAGUUGGCCUAAUAGCACAAAUAAAUACAACAGAAUAAACAUAAAUUAAAUAAACUGUGCUUUUCAGGUUUUUUAUGUAGGCUUAAACAGGAGAUUUUCAGGUACAGAAAUUGUGUAUAACUAUUAAACUUUAUUUAAGUUAAUCAGUCAAGAGCAGUUACAAGAUGCAUAAAUAAUGUUUUGGAAUGUUGAAAAUAUAAAACGUUAAAUACUGUUAUUUGAAAUUAUUUAUAAAAUGAAAAGAUACUUUAAAUGUGAAAUUACACCCGCCAGUAGGUGGCAGUAAGUCCCUGUUAAUGAGCGAGUCAUUGAGAUUCAACCGAUUCAUUCAGGAAGUGUUGCUCAGAGACGCAAAACGAUUCUGUGGACUUUGUUUGGAACUAUUUUCGUUGGCGAAAUAGAGCGAAACAAGCGAUUUGGUGUCUAAAAUGAUGGAUGAAUCGAGCGCGCUGCUGCCCUCUGGUGGACUGUAUGAUUGUUCCAAGUGUGAGCCGAUCAACCUAAACACUGCUUCAUGAAGCUUCGAAACCUUUACGAAUCUUUUGUUUCGAAUCAGUGGUUCGGAGCGUGUUUCAAACUGCCAAAGUCACGUGGUUUCAUGCUACACCACUAGGGGGCGAUCUCUGUGAAUUUUCUUUUUUAUUAAACAGUACAAAACAUCAGAGCAUUAAAUCAAUACAGAUACAUGUAAUACACAAAACAGAAAAAUACACAAACACACAUAAGUUGCCAGGGUAAUAAAACAACAACAAUGCAAUAUAUGUAAACCUUAAGCGGACAAAAUGGAUGAAUAAAGAGAAACAGUUUUCAUAGCUUUGGGAUUAAUAGAGUAUUGGAUAGUUUAGAUAUACUUGUCUAGAUCAACUCUGAAUAGAGAAAAGAGAGGUUUAGAGCCAGUAAAUUUUUGUUUAUGUAUGUGAAAACACAGGAAAACAAAUUAACACAUAGGAAACACAAAUUAAUUAUGUAAUAUUUCCCUAUAUUCUCUUUAGAGUAGUGGAACAAUCCAAAGAAAACAUCUUUAAAACAGAAAGAAAAGUCACUUUUAAAAUAUGAUUGGAUAAACAUUAACACAUCUGACCAAAAUUUCUCUGUAUGGGUACAUUGCCAAAACAAGUGAAUGAAAUCUUCCUCAGCAGAGAAUCAUGCAAAUUCACUAAGAUUGGUGAAUCAUUGAACAAGUGUCUGUCUAUUACCUGAGUGUUAAGUGUCUAAAAGUGUCUAUUACCUGAUCUCUGAUGAGUUUUACACAUUUGUAGACGUCUUAAUGAAAUAUUUGUAUAAAUAAAAGGAAUAAUAGUAGUUAAUAGUCUCUGUUUAGCUGACCCAUCCAUAGAAUAAACAAAACAAGCCCUGAAAAGUUGCUAAAAGAAUACAUAUUAUACUACAUAUUAUACAGACACUUAAUAUUUAAUGGUAUUAGAUGAUUAGUUAAUUGCAUUUGAUAGAUUAUACUUUCAAUAAAACAUUUGCAAUGGAUUUGUAAAAGCUGUUUUUAUGCAUGUUUGGCAUGUGUUUUUGUUGCAUUUACAAGGUUUUGACCAGCAGGGGUCAACAAGCGUGCGGUGUUUCGAACGCUCCGAAACAAUGAAUCAUUUUGCGAAGCAAUUGGUUCAAUUGAUUCGGAGCUUUGAAAAGCUUCGUUUCUCCCAUCUAGCGUCAUCGUUUCUUUUUUAUAAUAACGACGAAAAACAAUAUCUUUCAAAUAUUUUACCCAAAUAAGUGAAUCGUCUAACCUUUUAUUUCGACUUGGGUUUCAAUAAUCAAUUAUUGAGUUCUUAAAAUAUGAUUUUGAACAUCUGUUCUUCCAUUGGUUGGUGGACACUUGUAUUGCAUCACGGGAAACUGUUCGCUACAAAAUAAAGCGACACAUUUGUUUGAUGUUAGUUUUAUGUUAUCGUUAUCGUAAGCUCGACUGGCAGCGGAACUUUAAAAGAAACAAGUGUAAACAGGAAUCUUAGUCUAGAUGUCGUUGCCUCAUACGGAGUGAUAACGUUGACCUCACCGUCACCGAGACUCGUGUUUCCUGAAGUGACCCCCUUUAUGGUUUAUGUACAACUCAUACUUACCUGGCAGGGGCGACACCGUGAUCAUGAAGGUGGUUUACCCAAGGCGAGGCUCGGCCAUUGCACUAUAGGCUGUUGCUGACCUUUGCGAAUUCCCCAAAUGUGGGAAUCUCGACUGCAUAAUUUAUGGUAGUGGGGGACUGCGUUCGCGCUCUCCCCUGA